CACCAGAGAGGCCCCAGACCUGUGGUGCCGGGACAGGCUCCAGGACUCCGAGCGCCUGGGGUAUAGAAACCUGGCCAGGGUGGGAGAGGUCUUCGGAGAAAUAUUCAGCGAAGACCAGAAGAGCAGUUUCCUCCAGGCGGGGCUGCUGGCCAUCCACGACCCCCUCCUCCGCGUCAGCCAGGCUGGCCUGGUGCUGACCUAUUCCAUCUUGGGGGAAGCCGGCCAGCUGCUAGAGGACGAGGGGGACAUUACAGCAAAGAUCAUGGCCAAGCUAUUUACCAUCAAGUGCUUGCGCCAUGUGCCCAAAGCACUGCAGGGGCUGUGCUCCAUGGGACAGCCUUGAAGGGCCCCACCCUUCGCAUGGCCAGAAGCUCCCAC